rnacentral:siRNA from 1 species
CGAAUGUCGGUCAAUCGUCUUGAU